rnacentral:rRNA from 1 species
UACAGAGGGGGCAAGCGUUGUUCGGAAUUACUGGGCGUAAAGGGCGCGUAGGCGGCCUUCUAAGUCGAACGUGAAAUCCCCGGGCUCAACCCGGGAACUGCGUCCGAUACUGGAAGGCUUGAAUCCGGGAGAGGGAUGUGGAAUUCCAGGUGUAGCGGUGAAAUUCGUAGAUAUUGGGAAGAACACCGGUGGCGAAGGCGGCGCUCUGGACCGAGACUGACGCUGAGGCGCGAAGGCGUGGGGAGCAAACAGG